rnacentral:rRNA from 1 species
UACGGGGGGGGCAAGCGUUGUUCGGAAUUACUGGGCGUAAAGGGCUCGUAGGCGGCCAACUAAGUCAGACGUGAAAUCCCUCGGCUUAACCGGGGAACUGCGUCUGAUACUGGAUGGCUUGAGUUUGGGAGAGGGAUGCGGAAUUCCAGGUGUAGCGGUGAAAUGCGUAGAUAUGCGGAGGAACACCGAUGGCGAAGGCAAUCCCCUGGGCCUGUACUGACGCUCAUGCACGAAAGCGUGGGGAGCAAACAGG